rnacentral:rRNA from 1 species
CCUACGGGAGGCAGCAGUGAGGAAUAUUGGUCAAUGGGCGCAAGCCUGAACCAGCCAAGUCGCGUGAGGGAUGACGGUCCUAUGGAUUGUAAACCUCUUUUGUAGGGGAGCAAGGCACGCCACGUGUGGCGGGAAGGAGAGUACCCGAAGAAAAAGCAUCGGCUAACUCCGGGCAAGCAGCCGCGGUAAUCCGGAGGAUGGGAUCGUAAUCCGGAUUUAUGGGGUUAAAGGGGUGCGCAGGCGGAAUGUCAGGUCAGCGGUAAAAUUUCGGGGCUCAACCCCGUCGUGCCGUUGAAACUGGCGUUCUUGAGUGCGCGAGAAGUAUGCGGAAUGCGUGGUGUAGCGGUGAAAUGCAUAGAUAUCACGCAGAACUCCGAUUGCGAAGGCAGCAUACCGGCGCUCAACUGACGCUCAUGCACGAAAGCGUGGGUAUCGAACAGGAUUAGAUACCCUAGUAGUC